AUUGAACGCUGGCGGCAUGCUUUACACAUGCAAGUCGAACGGCAGCACGGGGGCAACCCUGGUGGCGAGUGGCGAACGGGUGAGUAAUAUAUCGGAACAUGUCCGGAAGUGGGGGAUAACGUAGCGAAAGUUACGCUAAUACCGCAUAUGCCCUGAGGGGGAAAGGGGGGGAUCGCAAGACCUCUCGCUUUCGGAGUGGCCGAUAUCAGAUUAGCUAGUUGGUGGGGUAAAGGCCUACCAAGGCAACGAUCUGUAGCUGGUCUGAGAGGACGACCAGCCACACUGGGACUGAGACACGGCCCAGACUCCUACGGGAGGCAGCAGUGGGGAAUUUUGGACAAUGGGGGCAACCCUGAUCCAGCCAUGCCGCGUGAGUGAAGAAGGCCUUCGGGUUGUAAAGCUCUUUCGGACAGAAAGAAAUCGUGCAGAAUGAUACUCUGUAUGGAUGACGGUACUGUAAGAAGAAGCACCGGCUAACUACGUGCCAGCAGCCGCCGUAA
rnacentral:rRNA from 1 species